rnacentral:rRNA from 1 species
UACGUAGGGUGCAAGCGUUUGUCCGGAAUUAUUGGGCGUAAAGAGCUCGUAGGCGGCUCAGUUAGUCGGGUGUGAAACCCCCGGGCUCAACCCGGGGACGCCACCCGAUACUGCUGUGGCUAGAGUCCGGUAGGGGAGCGUGGAAUUCCUGGUGUAGCGGUGAAAUGCGCAGAUAUCAGGAGGAACACCAGCGGCGAAGGCGGCGCUCUGGGCCGGAACUGACGCUGAGGAGCGAAAGCGUGGGGAGCGAACAGG